rnacentral:tRNA from 1 species
UCCCUGGUGGUCUAGUGGCUAAGACUCUGAGCUCACAAAGCACUGGCCCGGGUUUGAUCCCUGGUUAGGGUA